AUGUUACUCCCUCCGUCCGAAAAUACUUGUCAUCAAAAUGGAUAAAAAGGGAUGUAUCUAGAACUAAAAUACAUCUAGAUACAUCUCCUUUUAUUCAUUUUGAUGACAAGUAUUUCCGGACGGAGGGAGUAUUUU
rnacentral:pre_miRNA from 1 species